rnacentral:lncRNA from 1 species
AGAACAUGUUAGGGAGCCUCGGUUAGUUGAAAAAUAACAAAAAUCAAACCUACCCGGUGGGGGAGACCUUUGAGUGCAGUGGCUUCGCCAGUCCUUCUUUGCAGUUGAGAUUAUUUCUUCUGUUAACUUGCAUAGUAAAGGACGGUAAGCACAAUGACUGAAAAAUCGUGUGAAAUAAGAAGCAGAAAGGGGCUUAUCAGAGAGAUUUUUAGGUUUGGCCUCGACAACUACACCGGGCUUUGCUCACAGUUUUCGACUCACCCGCCGUCCUCUUUCUCUGAUUUGGCCAUAGAGAUGCUCGAAAUCGAAUUUCGAGCGGGUAGGGAGAAUUUUUACCUUUUUUAGUAACUGGUGGUGGCUCUUGUGCGGCGGUGGUCAACGAUCAGUCUCCUUCUCCGACGUCUGGUUCUUCUUCUCUGGCGGGAGUUAGCUGCUAGAGUUUGGGUUCCCAUACGAUGCAAAAUAUUUAUACUCAUCCUGCAUCGUUUU